rnacentral:rRNA from 1 species
UGGGGAAUUUUGGACAAUGGGCGCAAGCCUGAUCCAGCCAUGCCGCGUGCAGGAAGAAGGCCUUCGGGUUGUAAACUGCUUUUGUCAGGGAAGAAAUCCUUUGGGUUAAUACCUCGAAGGGAUGACGGUACCUGAAGAAUAAGCACCGGCUAACUACGUGCCAGCAGCCGCGGUAAUACGUAGGGUGCGAGCGUUAAAUCGGAAUUACUGGGCGUAAAGCGUGCGCAGGCGGCUUUGCAAGACAGAUGUGAAAUCCCCGGGCUCAACCUGGGAACUGCAUUUGUGACUGCAAGGCUAGAGUGCGGCAGAGGGAGAUGGAAUUCCGCGUGUAGCAGUGAAAUGCGUAGAUAUGCGGAGGAACACCGAUGGCGAAGGCAAUCUCCUGGGCCUGCACUGACGCUCAUGCACGAAAGCGUGGGGAGCAAACAGGAUUAGAUACCCUGGUAGUCCACGCCCUAAAANGAUGUCAACUGGUUGUUGGACGGCUUGCUGUUCAGU